UGCAUUCACUACUGGAAUUCGCUCUGGAUAAGAGUGUCUGCUAAAUGACUAAAA
rfam:Salmo salar isolate Sally breed double haploid chromosome ssa23, whole genome shotgun sequence.